rnacentral:lncRNA from 1 species
AUUAUUUAUUUUAGAUACAUUUCCGAGCUGGUUUUGGGGGCAGUGAAAACAUAGAACAUUUAUCUGAAGACAAUUUGUCUCAUCUAGAUAACUUAUAUAAAAUUGUAGAAGAACAGGCUCAUAAUUUAGAAGAUAGUCUUUCACAGCUCGAUAGAUAUCAACAAGUAAAUGCGUACUAAUGAUUUGGCAUACAACAAUAGUACCUAACUCAUAUUUGUAUUACAGGAAAUCCAACAUCUUCGGCAAAAAGUCAUAACUGCCGAGCAACAAUUAAGACUCACUCAGAGUCCAACAUAUUUACCUCAUGAUAGACAAAAAGCUCUACUAGAACAAAAUGUAAGUUUUCAUACUAAUUUUAAUUUAAGAGGUAGUUUAUAAAAAAAUUAAACAUUUCUAAAUGUUGGUCUUAUACAGUAUAUUAUAUGCUGAAUUAUACAAUUUUAAUGUAAAAUUGGCUUUCAAAAUUUAUUUGUAGAUAAUCUUAUCAGUUUAAUUUUAAUAAUUGUAGUUGGGAAGAAGGAAUUAAAGGAAAUUAGUGAGAAUAUAUUUUAUUUAUACAUUAAUUACUUAUUAAACAAUUUAAACAUUUAAAUUAUAAUUUGUAAGCAAUUAGUUGUUAUAAAAUUUAAAAUAUGUACUAAGUAAGAUAGAAUAUUAUAUAAUUUGUAAGACAAUUUCGAUGUAUACAUUAAAAAGAUACUCUUCUGAAUGAAAACAUUAAAAAAAAAACCGUUCCAUUGAUUGGAACAUUGCAGGCGUUUCAAGAACAAACACGAGUGCUGCAAAGCAAGAUUAAUUCAAGGACCGAACGAAUCAAACUGAUCAUUCAACGAGGCUCCCCGAUAUCUGACCCAUUAUUAAAUUAACUAGACAUUUAAUUGUAUUUAUUUAACUUCAUAUUCAUUCCAAAAUUCUAUUUAAGCUAUUAAAAAAAAAAAAUUCCAAAAUAAAAAUUAGUUUCUAAAGAAAUUUAUUCGGUCAUGCAGGACGUUCGAAACGCACUGGAAUCAUAUCGGCAUCGUUUGGAUUGCACUGUGAAUGCUGUACGAACGCAUAUCAAUCAUUUUAUUGGUUCCAAUCCUUUGUUGGCAUCUACGUCAUGUACAGAUCCCUUAAAUAAUCUUAAAAAUCUUCAAAAACAAACUUAUGUUAGAAAACCCCGAAUAGUUCUAAAUUCAACUGAACCAAAUCAACAAUCAAUAUUCAAAUCACGAUCACCUUCUCCAUUUUGGAUAAAAGGACAAACUUCUUUGUAUUCUGAAGUUGUCAAAUCUGGUUUUGUAUCAAGAAAUAAUAGUAGAUGCAUGAGCCCCAAAUCAAAAUCAAUAGAAGGACAUAUAAGUCGAAAAUCACAUUUUAAUUUACUUAAAACACCAUUUGUGAGAGAUAGAAGUAAAUCACCUAAAGAUAAGUGUCAAAAGAAUGAUUUUGAAAAAAGUAAAUUGUUUUCCGUGCCACCAAAAACAAUAUUGUUAUCUACCAAUGGAUCAGCAGUUCCAUCUAAAGAAUUCAAAGAUAACUUAAAUAUUAGUACACCUAAUUCACAAAAUAUUAAAAGGCGAUCCCGGUCUAGACGGAAUCAGAAGUCAAAAGACCAUUUCAAAAAUGAAUCCGUUACUGACAAAGUAGUAUUAAAAACUUCUAAAUUUGAAAACAUUAUAAUUAAUCAAAGUAUAAAUACAAAUUUAUCAAUAAAACCGAAAAUUAUUGUGUCAGAUACAAAAAAUCAACAUAAUUGUUGUACAAAUGCUGAAUUUCAAAAUGCACAUCAACCAUUAGCAAAGCCUGAUGUAGAAACCUGUACCCAAACCGACACAGUAGUAGAUGAUUUGUAUGCUAUUUUAAAUCAGAAACUUUUAAAUUCUGACACUGUAAUACCUUUAAACACUAUUGGCACCCUUUCUAAAGCUCAGUUACCCUUAGCUAAUGUGUCUGAUACUGAAUAUUCAAACUGUUGCUUUGAUUUAAAUGAACAACUGAAGGGAAUAUUUGGUUCAGUUGACCAGAAACACUACAAACAUCAUAUUUUUGAUCGACCACGUUCCAAAUCUGACACUCGCGAUCUCAAUAAACUCACACAGAUAUUUAAUAGCCAAAAUACUAAUGGAAAAUACACGUGCUGUUUCGAACGUAGUGCUGAAUCAGUAAAAAAUAUUUCCAGUAGGGACUUUACUUCCGGUAGACGUUCUUUUGAUAAAAUUUUAUCCCCUUUUGGAAAUGUACAAAUGGCAAGUUCAGAUGGAACUAACAAUGAAAGCAAAAAAACCGUAAGAUUAAGUGUGGAAAUUUAAUGUUUUAUAAUUGUAUUGUUUUUAAAAGUAAAUUUAAUGUUUUUUGUGAUUUGAUUAAUAUUUGAUUAGUAUUUUGUUACUUAAUUUGUUAAAAACAUUUUUGGAUUUAUUAUAUUUGUCAUGUACAGAGAAAUUUUUAAAUUUUUGAUUAUAAUUCAAUAGGAAUGAUAGGUACCUAUUCUAAAGAAUUGAUUUUAAAUAUUAUAAAAAGAGUACAGAGAAAACAAAUAAAUAUAUUGUAGACCUAUUUUUAGUCAAAUUCUGAAACUUUAUCUCUAUUCAAAGUAAUUUUUAGAAUACAAUGAUAAAAAAAUAAUAAAUCUUAAAAUGUAUCUACAAAAGUUUAAUUAAAACAAAUCGCACUAACAAUAAUUAUUAUUGUAAAUGUGUUUGUAGUGUAUCAUAUAACAACUAACACAUGAUGGGUGAUUCAAUAAUUUGUUAUCUGUUAACAUAAUAUUAUUUGUUAUUAAGUACAGAGUUAUUGAAAAUAUUUUUUUUUCCAGAGUAUAAAAUCAAAUUUACAAGCACUGGGUGAUGAGAGUAUCCCAUUAGAAUUAGCUAUUAAACCAUUUUUAACAUAUGAUGAAGGACAUAUUGCAAUACAAGAAUUAAAUUCAACACAAACAAUGAUUUCUUCCUUAGUUAAUAGCAAUGAUAAUCAAUCAAAAACCGAAGCAAUAAAAGACCUUACAACAAAUGUUCAACAAUUUGAUAAUAUUUUAUUAGAAUUUGAAGAUGAAGAUAAAGAUGAAUUUGUAAGUUAAAAAUUAUAAACUCGCAUAAAAUUUAAUGCCAAGUUUAUAUAUAUUUUUUUUAUUAAAGGAAAAAUUAUACAAUAUAAGUAUCAAUAUCAAUAAAUUAAAAAAGAUUAUAACUCAAUUCACAAUUUAUGAAGAAAUAGAAGAAUUUAAAGUUUUAAUUAAUCAACUUAAAAUCAUAAUGAAACAAUUUGAAAAUAAAAAUAAAAUUAUUACUCAGGUAUACCAUCAGUUUGCAUUAAAUUACAUUAUAAGCAAUACCUAUAUUUCUUGUAGAAAGAGAAAUAAUUUUAAUGUAUUCAUAUUUGAAAUACACAUAAUUUUUAAUGGAAUUGUUUUUAGAUUAUAUCAAUUGUUAUAUUUAUGAGACUUGUUAAUUUAUAUACUGUUUCAAAUUAAUUUUUCAGCGAACAUUAAAUUAUACAGAUGAUACUAUAAGCUAUUAUGAAAAUUUGUUAUUAAUUUUUAAAGAUAGUGGUUUAAAAAAUGAGGUAAAUAUAUUUUUUUUAUAUAUAUUUCACAAUUCCUUUAUAAUUUUUUGUUAUAUAGGUAUUGUAAUUGUUUUAUACAUUUUUUAGAAUAAUAUAGAAGAAAACAUUUUUGAAUUAAAAAAUAAACUUCAUGAAUUGGAAAUGUACCAAGAAAAUAUUGAAUUCGAAACACGCAUUUUAAAACUAAAACAUAUAAUUGAAAAACUUGAAAUUAUAAAUUGUGAAAUUUCAACAAUGAAACAGGUAUGUUUGCACGUUUAUAAUAAUAUUAUAAUAUCACAUA